CGUUGAACCAGUAUAUAAACCAUUCUAUACUAUUAAUGCGGAUAUAAAUCAAAGUUUCGAUCGCUAAAUAGCCAUCAAGCAACUAUUUCAAGAUGAAUUUCAAUUUCUUCAAAAUCGCUUUCACCACUGGAAUUUUUAUUUUAUUUUUGCUUUCAGAAGUAAACGGAGGAGGACCUUAUGGGGGAUUAGUAGAGACAGAAGAGGAGUUGGAAGGCAUGGAAGAAGUUUUUGCUGGAUAAGCAUCUGACACCAUGACAUUCAAGAAAAGAUAUCUGUUUAAAUCAAGGAACUAACAUUGUGUUUAAGAUAUUAAAUAUACGAUUUUGCAUA